CGUACGGGCCCCCAGCCCCCGGCCCCACCUGAUUUAUGAACCGAGGCUGUCUCCAUGAGCGUCUGGGUUUCUCCUUUUGUAUUCCAUCUGGCGGCUUUUCCAACUAGAUGACUGGCCUGGCUGGAAACAUUAGAAGGGACCGAGGCAGCGAGAUGUCUAAAAUAGGAAGACGCCGGGGACGAUUGGCCUGGCUGCCCGCGACGCCGGCUGCGGGGAUCUGGCCCAGCUGUGCAGACGGAAAAGCUAAGAGACAUUUCCUGCAGCGUGGGGGAUGCAGAAAUUGACUCAUCCAUCCAUUCAGUUAGUCACUAAAUUUUCUGGAGCAUCUACUCUGUGCCAGACGCCGCGCUAGGUGCUGAGUUUGCAGCAGGGAGCCAGUCUUGCCUGGCGGCAGAGCUCAAAGGUAAACGGGUCAUUGCAACGCAGUGCACGGGUUAUGUGCUGCGGGCACACAGAGAAGGGGUGCCUCCGCUGGCCGGGGGAGGUGGUCAUGGAAGGCUUCCUGGAGGAAUGGGCGCCUAAGCUGGGGCCUGAAAGAUGAGUAGGAGCUAGCCAGGUGAAGAAGGAAGGAGCAAGAGUCAAAGGUGUACCCGAUGGAGAGGGAGUAGCCUGCCCCAAAGCCUCGACUUGAGAGGGUACACGGGGUGUUUGGUGCCCCAGAUGAGCUCCAGGUGGCUGGAGCAGUGGCUGGG